rnacentral:rRNA from 1 species
AUUGAACGCUGGCGGCAUGCCUAACACAUGCAAGUCGAGCGGAGCGGCGGACGGGUGAGUAAUGCCUGGGAAUCUGCCUGGUCGCGGGGGAUAACGUCCGGAAACGGGCGCUAAUACCGCAUACUAUCAGAUUGGCCUAGGUCGGUGUCGCUAGGUGGUGGGGUAAAUGCCUAACAAGGCGACGAACCGUAACUGGUCGGAGAGGAUGAGCAGUCACACUGGAACUGAGACACGUGCCAGACUGCGACGGGAGGCAGCAGUGGGGAAUAUUGGACAAUGGGCGAAAGCCUGAUCCAGACAUGCCGCGUGUGUGAUGAGGGUCUUCGGAGUGUAAAGCACUUUAAGUUGGGAGGCGGUACCUGCAGAAUAAGCACCGGCUAACUUCGUGCCAGCAGCCGCGGUAAUUC